rnacentral:rRNA from 1 species
GACGAACGCUGGCGGCGUGCUUAACACAUGCAAUUCAACCGGAAGGCCCUUCCUUUGUUGGGUGCCCGGGUGGCGAACGGGGGAGUUAAACGGGAGGUACCUGCCCCUGGUUUUUGGAUAAAUUUAGGAAACUGGGGCUUAUACCCGUAAGGAACCCCCGCUGCCUGGGGGGGGGUGGGAAGUUUUGGGCGGUUGGGGAUGGCUUCGCGGCUAACCAGCUUGUUGGUGGGGUAGUGGCUUACCAAGGCUUUGACGGGUAGCCGGCCUGAGAGGGGGACCGGCCACAUUGGGACUGAGAUACGGCCCAGACUCCUACGGGAGGCAGCAGUGGGGAAUAUUGCACAAUGGGCGGAAGCCUGAUGCAGCAACGCCGCGUGCGGGAUGACGGCCUUCGGGUUGUAAACCGCUUUCGCCUGUGACGAAGCGUGAGUGACGGUAAUGGGUAAAGAAGCACCGGCUAACUACGUG